AUGGUGAAUGACCUGGGGCUCACACAGGAGAGUGAUAUUGUUUACUGGGGGCUGAAUAAAACAGCUCGAUAUACUACUAAAUCGAUGUACAGGUGGUUGGAGAAGCCCCUUAGUGGGUGUAAUUUCAAAUGGAUUUGGGAGGCAAAACUUCCUCUUAAAAUCCAAAUUUUCCUAUGGCAGAUGUUCCAGAAUGCCAUUCUUACCAGGCAGGUGAUGAGAUCUCGCCGUUGGCCUGGUAAUCCGACUUGUUCCUUCUAUCGGGAGAUAGAAACAGCACAACAUCUCUUCUUUCGAUGUCGGUUGCCAAAAUAG
rnacentral:rRNA from 1 species